rnacentral:rRNA from 1 species
UACGCAGGGGGUUAGCGUUGUUCGGAAUCACUGGGCGUAAAGCGCACGUAGGCGGAUUGUUAAGUCAGGGGUGAAAUCCCGAGGCUCAACCUCGGAACUGCCUUUGAUACUGGCGAUCUAGAGUCCGGGAGAGGUGAGUGUAACUGCGAGUGUAGAGGUGAAAUUCGUAGAUAUUCGCAAGAACACCAGUGGCGAAGGCGGCUCACUGGCCCGGAACUGACGCUGAGGUGCGAAAGCGUGGGGAGCUACCAGG